rnacentral:rRNA from 1 species
GACGAACGCUGGCGGCGCGCCUAACACAUGCAAGUCGAACGGUGAAGAAGAGCUUGCUCUUCGGAUCAGUGGCGGACGGGGGAGUAACACGUGAGCAACCUGCCUUUCAGAGGGGGACAACAGUUGGAAACGACUGCUAAUACCGCAUAACGUGCUCGGGGGGCAUCCCUUGGGUACCAAAGAUUUAUCGCUGAAAGAUGGGCUCGCGUCUGAUUAGAUAGUUGGUGAGGUAACGGCCCACCAAGUCGACGAUCAGUAGCCGGACUGAGAGGUUGAUCGGCCACAUUGGGACUGAGACACGGCCCAG